CAAACCUGGACAUAGCUGGUUCUCCGCGAAAUCUAUUUAGGUAGAGCGUCCGACGAAUUCCUUGGGGGGUAGAGCACUGGAUGGUUGCGGGCUGCGCGAGCGGUACCAAUACUAACCAAACUCCGAAUACCCAAGAGAACUAUCGGGCAGACACACGGCGGGUGCUAACGUCCGUCGUGAAAAGGGAAACAACCCUAACCAUCAUCUAAGGCCCCCAAGUCACGGCUAAGUGGGAAACGAUGUGGGAUUGCUUUGACAAUCAGGAGGUUGGCUUAGAAGCAGCCAUCCUUUAAAGAAAGCGUAACAGCUCACUGAUCAAGCGAUCCUGCGCGGAAAAUGUAACGGGGCUCAAGCCGUGCGCCGAAGAUAUGGGUUUGCAGUUUACUGCAAGCGGUAGCGGAGCGUUCCGUAGGCCGGUGAAGGUCAGGCGUGAGCCUGGCUGGAGGUAUCGGAAGUGAGAAUGCUGACAUGAGUAACGAUAAGAGUGUGAGAGACACUCUCGCCGAAAGACCAAGGGUUCCUGCGUAAAGCUAAUCUGCGCAGGGUUAGUCGGCCCCUAAGGCGAGGCUGAAAAGCGUAGUCGAUGGGAAGCAGGUAAAUAUUCCUGCACCAGCUGGAAGUGACGGAUGGCUUAACUCGUACCCACUUAUUGGAUUGUGUGUGCGGGGGCGUUGUCCCAGGAAAUAACUCCAGCAGAGACCGUACCCGAAACCGACACAGGUGGUCAGGUAGAG
rnacentral:rRNA from 1 species